CUUUACUUUGGAGUAAUCCCAAGUGAGGAGACUGGCAAGACUUUUGAGCAUACUAUUCCUAUUCCUAUUCCUAUUCCUAUUCCUAGUAGAAAAAAGCAGGCGAUGAAUGAAUAGAGAAUCUCGCAGAUGAAGUAAACGAGGAGGAGACAAAUAUCUGUCUCUCUCUCUCUCUCUCUCUCUCUCUCUCUCCGGAUAGAGAGAAAACUCCACCCACCAGGCGCCAGUCCUCCGCAAGCAAACAGAAUCCUCUUCAGUGUGUGUGUGAAUACGUGUACGCUCAGAUUUCAACUGACAUCUGGGCCUUUGCGAUUCCAAUUUCCACUUCAGAGGUUUCUAUUUUCUACGGAGUUUCCUGGGUUUUGAAUUACAAGGUAACCCCAGAGAAGAUUUGCUAAUUUUUCCGAGUUUGGUUUUGUUUUAUUUGGAUUUCUUUGGUUGCAUGUCAAUUAAUUUAUGCAGAUAUUUUCCAUGUUUCGUUUGCUUUCCUUUUUCCAAGGAGAGUACUUAUGUGAAUCUAUCAGGUUAAAGCCGUCAUGGUCUGCAAAUUGUAAUUCAUUUGUCAAUUAAACCUAUGGAAUCUUCUGGGCCUAGCCAAAAAAUUGAUCUUUUUGUUGAUUCUUUUUGUUGAUUCUUGUGAAGUGACUUCUUCACAAGAACGAAAACUUGGCCAUUUGGAGGAAAAGAAUCAUAUUUGUUUUUCAAAUUUCAUUUUCUUCUGAAACACAACUGAUUUUUAGGAUACAAUUAUUAAGCAUUUGAACCAAAACUUUGCUUAGAACUCAAAUCCAAGUAAAAGAAAAAAAGAAAAGGUACCUUCAUCAAUAAAAGAGUCAGCUUCCUUAGGCUUAGAUAGAGAACAAGAAUACAUUUUAUUUUUCUUGCUUUUUCUGAUUUUAUUUCUAAUUUAGAAAAUAAAUUUCAUGAUAUGGGUUUCAAAAUUUGAGGUUACACAGAGUUUGGAAGGUAAUAUGGAAGACAAUCUAUUUUCUGGAAUUGGCAGUGAGGCACAAUUUGAAGGCAAAGUUGUUCAGACAUUUCAGAAAAACUUUGUGCAAGUUCAAAAAAUUUUGGAUCAAAACAAGCUGUUAAUCAACAAGAUUACCCAGAACCACGAGUCCAAGAUCCCGGAUAAUUUGACUCGAAAUGUGGGUUUAAUUCGAGAGCUCAACAACAAUUUUAGAAGGGUGGUCGAUCUCUACGUGGGUCUUUCCAACUCUUUCCCCAAAUCCAUGGAAGAGGGCUCGUCCGAGGCCGAUUCAAUUAAGUCUGGCGGAAGAGUUGGACAGAAGAGAAUUAGGUCCAACAAUUGACGGAAAUUCGAAUUUAGAUUUGUACUGAAUUUUACAAUUGUUCUUAACGACGAAGAAUAGUCUAUACCAGCAUUUUAUGUUGUCAAAUCUGUCUUUGUCAAAUCUUACUGUUUAUAGCCUAUAGGUGCUAAAGAUUUUCGUAAGGCCCGGUUUCUCGCAUACGUUUCUAUUUCUCAGAUCUGCUUUUCUGUUUACUUAGAGAAGGCAAUGUCACGAGCUUGGAAAAAAUGUUGAAAAUAAGAGUUGAAAUGAUGUUACUGCACAUUACGCAAAUCAAGAUUGAGAAAAGAAAAUAAUUAUUCUUCAAUGAUCUCAAUAACAGACAACU
rnacentral:lncRNA from 1 species